rnacentral:snRNA from 1 species
UUGGUACCACAUUUCCCAAAACUGGAACAUAUAGAGAAGAUUUAACAGCCCCCGAGAAAGGAUGACAUGCAAAUACAUGAAGCAUUUCAUGUUUUU